rnacentral:hammerhead_ribozyme from 1 species
AGCCGAAACUCCGGCACGGACGCCGGCGUCGCGGCGGGUUGGUGCCCGCCGCCUGACGAUGGCAGCCAACC